rnacentral:ncRNA from 1 species
AGCGACUGUGCAGAAAAGACAACCUUUUUUAGAUGCAGGUGUCUGCGUCAAGUUUCCUUUUUUGCUCUGUCGUU